rnacentral:tRNA from 1 species
GCGCUCGUAGCUCAAUUGGAUAGAGCAUCUGCCUUCUAAGCAGGCGGUUGAAGGUUCGAGUCCUUCCGGGCGCGCCA